rfam:Marinobacter sp. ELB17 1101232001210, whole genome shotgun sequence.
CAACCCGCGAGGCGCGGUCUGGAGGAAGCCGCUAGCAAAGCUGCGAGCUGAUGAACAAGAACAUCAUAUGAGGCGUAGGCCGGAGGCGAGUUGGCACAAGCCGACGGGGCGGCCUCCCGCGAAGCCACGUGAUCUGACGGCCACCGUAAAUGAUGCAGUUGUGCAGUGAAAGUUCAUGUU